AGUCAACGUUGGCGGCGUGCGUAACACAUGCAAGUCGAACGAUCCUUAAGUGGCUUGCCAUUUAAGGAGAGUGGCGAACGGGUGAGUAACACGUGAGUAAUCUGCCCUCGAGCGGGGAAUAACUCCGCGAAAGCGGUGCUAAUACCGCAUAAUACUCUAAAGCACACGCUUCUAGAGUCAAAGCCUUUCGGGGCGCUCGAGGAUGAGCUUGCGCCAUAUUAGCUUGUUGGUGGGGUAAUGGCCUACCAAGGUUAUGAUGUGUAGCCGGCCUGAGAGGGUGUACGGCCACACUGGAACUGCGACACGGUCCAGACUCCUACGGGAGGCAGCAGUGGGGAAUUUUGCGCAAUGGGCGAAAGCCUGACGCAGCGACGCCGCGUGGAGGAUGACGGCCUUCGGGUUGUAAACUCCUGUCAGAGGUGAAGAAAGCCCUUUCGGGGGCCUGACGGUAACCUCAGAGGAAGCCCCGGCUAACUACGUG
rnacentral:rRNA from 1 species